GACCGCGGAUGGAGGGCCGCUCUUCCCGCAAGGGAGGGGAGGAACUUCCGAACUUCACAGGGCAGGGUGCCGGUUCAAAGCCGUUAAGCGGCCAUAGGCCGGGAGGCGGGGGCUAUAUCCCCCGUCGACGGACAGCGCCACAGAGAAUAUACCGCCCCGCCACUUUUUCCGGGCUAGUACCGGCCAAAGUGCGGGGUAAGGGUGAAAAGGUGCGGUAAGAGCGCACCGCGUCCGCAGAAAUGCGGGCGGCAGGGCAAGCCCCUCCUGAAGCAAGGCCAAAAUUGCGCUUGGAUAGCCCGUCCAUCCCCCUCCGGGGGGAGGCGCAGAGUGGGCCGCAACAGAUAAAUGGUCCUCCAGGUCCCGCAAGGGGCUGGACAGAAUUCGGGGUACAGUCCGCGGUCUAAA
rnacentral:RNase_P_RNA from 1 species